rnacentral:rRNA from 1 species
ACGCUCGACACCUACGGGAAGGCAGCAGUGGGGGAUAUUGCGCAAUGGGGGAAACCCUGACGCAGCAACGCCGCGUGAAGGACGAAGGUUUUCGGAUUGUAAACUUCUUUUGUCAGGGACGAAGAAAUGACGGUACCUGACGAAUAAGCUCCGGCUAACUACGUGUCAGCAGCCGCGGUAAUCUGAGCGGGCUGGCAAGGC